UACGGAGGGUGCAAGCGUUACCCGGAAUCACUGGGCGUAAAGGGCGUGUAGGCGGGAUGUUAAGUCUGACUUUAAAGACUGUGGCUCAACCACAGGAGUGGGCUGGAUACUGGCAUUCUAGACAACUGGAGAGGCGAUUGGAAUUACUGGUGUAGCGGUGGAAUGCGUAGAUAUCAGGAGGAACACCUGCGGUGUAGACGGCUUUCUGGACCAUUGCUGACGCUGAGACACGAAAGCGUGGGUAGCAAACAGG
rnacentral:rRNA from 1 species